AUCUCAGUAUCUCAUCUUCGGUUUCUUUGUUUUGUUUGAUUUCGAUCUAUAAUUGGGUUUACAAUGGAUUAAAUGAUGCAGGAACACGCAACUGAGAACGUCUACAUCAAGGUUCCCCAAUUUCCGAAGGGGAAAUUACAUUCAUUCUUUUACGAAUUCUUAUGAUGCCUGGAUCCGAAUGAUGACGGUUUUUCUUUAUUCGAUCUGUCUUGGAUUGGUAUUAAAUUAGUGUUUUUUGACUUUUGUGUUUGUGUCUGAAGAAAAUGGAGAGGGAGAGGCUGGAGAAGCUGAAGCAAAAGGCUGCUAAAGAAAGAGCUGAGAAUGAGAAAGUAAUUGCUGAUAAGGUGAGACUUCCAAUUUAACACCGAUGGCAUUGUACAAUGGGCAAUCACCCUAUUCCUCCCCUUCUCCCUAUGAUAUCUUGUCUGCUCCUUUUGAUAUGUAUAGACAACUUUAUGAGAGGUUACAAGGUGUCUACAUUUCUCCUUUUCAAACCCCAUCUGCCUCUCCUAUCACUCAUGUUCAACUUUAUAAGAGUUUU